AUGAUUGCCAUGACCCCCUCUAGUGUGUUGCAUCUUCGCUCCACUAGUUUCUAUGACAUGAUUGAUACGCUUGCUUAUGUUGCAUCACCCAUGAUUCAUACUUGCUCAUUUGAUGCGGUUGAUGACAUUCCUUUCCAUGCUUUGUACAUGAUUACUAUUACAUGUUGUCAUAUAUCUCCAUAUGUUGCCUCUCUCAUGCUAGAUAAUUUGCCAUGUAUUAAGUGCAACAAUGAUUCUAGUCUUGCUAAUGAGAUUGCCCCCAUAGCAUUCUCACAUAUAUUUGGAGAUUUUGACAUAUUUCUUGUGAAGCAUGCUUGUCAUCCUUCUUUGCACCAUAUGCCUAGUGCCAUGCAUAUACCAUUGCAUCAUAUUAUUCAUGCACUUUUGCUUCUAAUGGUUAUGUGCAAGAGAAGAGAACCAUCAUGA
rnacentral:rRNA from 1 species